UACGAAGAUUGGAUUAUGUUGGAAACGUAUAAACAGAUAAAUUGAAGACAUUAGAGAGUAUCAAUAUUCAUAGACUUCUCAUUAGCUUAAUCACACAAAAUCAAACUUCUAACAGGAAAGUAAAAGCAAACCAGACAACUUCACAGAAAUUAAGAACAUUUUGAUAAUGUCCACUAACAAAUGACGUAACCAAAUCAAGGCAAAAGAACACUGUAAUCUUCACGAAACCAUGCAUUUCCACAAAUUUCACAAAUUCGACAUUUUCCCAGCAGAUCAAAAUUCUAAUAUGUACAAAUCAACCAAACACAUAAAUGACGAUUGCAUCGAGCUUGAUAUCAAUCUCCAAGACCAAGAACCAGUGUAUCAGCUAAGUAGUACCUGAGCUUGGUAGGUUUUGGCGUGCGCCUGUUGGGGAGAGGUUUCUUAACAUCUUCAGCUGGAUAGAACUUCGGUGGCUUCUCCGCCGGAGUAUCAACCUUGGAUUUAGCGUCGUGGCGGGGGAAAACGCCUCCAUUUUUGGCCUUGAUUGCCCACAAACCUCUCUUAUGGUACAUCUGGGAUCUUGAGUAUUUACCAACACCCCUGAUCAGAUCAGGGUUUCUGUUGACCUUCGGCGUCCUCUGUUUCGCCGGCAUCGUUCUCUCUGUCGUAAUGAAUCAAGGAAAAACUUUCCGGCUGAGAGUGGAUAGAGGAGAGAGUUGAGGCGGAGGAUUGGUAAAUUUGAAGACACAGAAACCCUAAUUUGAUUUUAGGGCUUCCUUGGGCUCGUGGGCUUUGAAAUUAUAUCGGGCUUCUAAUGCGAACCGUAACAUACAUAACAGGAUUUGUUUUUUUUUUCAAACUUGUAAGAUUAAUUUUUUUUCACUAAGCAUAAACUAAUUUGACAGAGAAAACAAAAUUUGUUCUUUUUCAGUAGUCAGUACGAAUAAAAUCAAAUUUCGUUUGAAACCUACACUAAUUUUUGGAACUUACAUCUAAAAAUGUAAAAUUCGUAGUGUUUUGUUGUAGGAAUUGUUCAAUAAAUUUUUAAAAAUUGGAAAAUGAUUUUUAAACUAGUGUGAUUCUUUGUAACGUUCGUUUUAUUUUAUUUUUGUUAAUGACUUGGAAGUUUUUUUUUUUAUUAGAGGUAAUAAACAUCACAUGAUGUGGUAAUUACAGUAAUUUAUCUAAAACUCUGGCUAAUCCCCACAAUUUGACAGACGCCAAAAUCAGAUCAAGACUAUAAGUCAACGUUUCCUUCACCUCUAAGAGUGCAAUGGAUCACAUAUAUCUUUAUUAUUAUAGUUUGAGAAGCUUUUGAUGAGGCUGAUGAGGAUUUCUCCGCUUUAGUCACCUUUACAUGUCGUUCUUCAACAAACAUUGGUCGCCUUAAAAGCUCUUCAAAAGACCAGCGUUCAUGUGCACAUGCCUCGAUAUAUAUAUAUAUACUAGAGACCCCAUUCAUCUAUCAAUAAAUAUUGAAUCUUGAUCUCCGAAAACCAAAACAUCAUUAGAUCUAAUGGCUAUGGCUAGUAGUAGUAGCAACUCGUCGUUGUUUCCUACCCAACAACAACCGCAACAGCAAUUAGGAGGCAAUGAGUUCCAACCUACGGCUACCAACGUCAAUCUAAUUGCAGCACCAAACGCUCCAAACCAUUACUCUUCCGGUUCCAUUGGACCCUUCUUUGCAGUCAUCUCUGUUCUCGUCGUUCUUGCAGUCCUCUCCUGCUUCUUGGGUCGCAUAUGUGCACGGCGCCGCCAGAGAACUGUUUUAGUGGCUGAAGUCAAUCCAUUGGAGAUGAUAAAGAGUGGUGGGUUUUUAGGAUGGCUGAGACGAAAAUGGAGACGGUUUUUGGCCGGCGAUGUUGAGGCCGGAGCUAAAGUUGCCGAUUGUGCCAGCAAAGAAACACCUAAAGAUAAUGAUCAAACUCGCCUUGAAGCACCUCCAGCUUGAUCUAGGUGCGUGUGUGAGAGACUAGUAAUAAGAGUAUCAACAUUCGAAGUAGAAUGUAAGCUACCUAUUAGCAUCAUUGCAAUGUUUUAUUCAGUUCUUCAAAACCCAUUUCAUAAUCUCAUCACUUCGAUUCACCAUGUCUUAACCAUAAAUAGAAUCUUAUGAAUUGUUCUCCAUUGCUUGAGAUCUCACACAUUCAAAAACAAGAUUGAUAAAUUAUCCAUAUGUAAAACAGAAAUCCAGAUAGUUGAGCCAAAAUUUAUGUCUCUGGUCAGUGGACGAGAACAGAACCAACAAUUUAGAGUGUAAAAACUUCAGGAGACAGAUACUCUAGAAACCUCAGAAAAAGGUAACGAAACCUAGAAAACAAGCUCAUGGGGCUUCAUUCCUUGUUUCAAUGAAAACCUUGCUCCGAGGUAAGUCUUCAACUCUGGAACUGCUUCAAUGGCUUUGAUCAAAGCUGCGUCCACGGCUUUCUGGUCAUCUUUCUUUCCUUGUGGAAUCUCCUUUUUCUCCUGUGGAAUCAAAAAGGUAUAUGGUGAUCAAGAAUAGCUUUUGAUUGGGAAGUGUACAAACAAGAUGGAAUUUGAUGAGUGUUUGAGAUACCUCUUUCUCAGCUUCGAAGAACUCUCCUUCAGUCUUCUUCUUUUUCUUCUCAGCAACCUUGCCAAAGUACUUAUCAUCAAAAUUAUCGAGGGUGACUCCAGAGAUGUCAACCUUUGUGGAAGUACCAAUCACAUAGGCCUGGUUAACACGUCUCAAAGGAACACCAUUGAUCUUGAAUGGUCCUGAAGGUCAAUAACAAAACAAGAAAAUGUCAACUUCAUACAGAUUACACAAAGCAAGUUAAGUGAAUGUGUGUUCUUCAUUUGGGAUGUAGAAUGUGACCAAUGAAGAGAGUAGAUUAGCAUAAAACUCACCAGUCACAAGAAGCAAACCAGAGGGAAGCUGCUUAAGAAAAACAACUCUCUUUCCCUUGAACCUACCAGCAAGAAUAAUCAACACAGUUCCUGAGGUGAUGCUGGAUCUGCAAUAUAACAGAGCAAAUUCAGGACAAUGUAACAGAAAAUUACAAGCAAAUGAGACAACUUUUCCACAGAGAUCAAGAACGUUUAAGAAGGCAAGAUAACUUCACAAAUAAAAUUGAACCGACCAAAAUUCUUUCAAAAAUCACAGUAAUUAACGACUUAAACCAUACUAAACUAGUCAAUUUUUCCGGAAGAUUCAAAGUAUUAAAUGCAUACGAAGCAUCACUCAAGAAACAUAGACAAUGAGACAGUGUUCAGCUGAGUACCUGAGCUUGGUUGGUUUUGGCGUGCGCCUGUUGGGGAGAGGUUUCUUCACGUCUUCAGCUGGAUAGAACUUCGGUGGUUUCUCUGCUGGAGCAUCAACCUUGGAUUUAGCAUCGUGGCGGGGGAAAACGCCUCCAUUUUU
rnacentral:lncRNA from 1 species